CCUGGAAAGCACGUUGGAGUCAUUGGCUGUGGUCAUGAAAGCAUUUGAAACAGUACACUACAUGCUAGAUGAAUUGUGCGUAUUCAGAACUCUGUGCAGUGAUCUGCCAGUAUUCAAGUAGAAGGUACUGUAUACCUGCUCCAAAAGCUGUAAAAUAGCCGAAUUUUAAAAAAAUGCCAAAACUUCCAUCACUAGGUGCCAAAAGCCACUCUUUGGUAGCAAGUGAUUUGACAGAACUUACCUCAGCCUCUAUACUUCUACUCUACCUCUCUUGCCUGUUCCACAUUCAUCCUGUACUCCAUAUGUAACUGGGUCAGGAAGAAACUGUAAUAUGUGGUUCUAUGGGCAGUAGGUAUGGAGCUACUGAUGAUAGUGUUGCCAUGUACCUGUAAAACAACCGUGAUCAUACAUGAUCAGUAGCGAAGGCAGCAGCACCAGGAGCAAGCUCUAUUACUCAUUCAGAUAUUCACUUAUGAAAAUAUUGUCAUGUCUUGUUGUUUACACAAAUUAUUGAUAUGUUUGGUUUUUAAAUGAUACUGUUCGAAGCUGAAAUCCUAUAAAAAUAUAUUUCUGUGAUACACUGUU
rnacentral:lncRNA from 1 species